AUUGAACGCUGGCGGCAGGCCUAACACAUGCAAGUCGAACGAGUGGCGGACGGGUGAGUAAUGUCUGGGAAACCGCCUGAUGGAGGGGGAUAACUACUGGAAAAGGUAGCCUAUACCGCAUACUCUCAGAUGUGCCCAGAUGGGACUAGCUAGUAGGGUGGGUAAUGUCUCACCUAGGCGACGAUCCCUAGCGGGUCUGAGAGGAGAACCAGCCAACCUGGAACUGGGACACGGUCCAGACUCCGACGGGAGGCAGCAGUGGGGAAUAUUGCACAAUGGGCGCAAGCCGGAUGCAGCCAUGCCGCGUGGGUGAAGAAGGCCUUCGGGUUGUAAAGCACUUUCAGCGGGGAGGCGUUACUCGCAGAAGAAGCACCGGCUAACUCCGUGCCAGCAGCCGCGGUAAUUC
rnacentral:rRNA from 1 species